rnacentral:tRNA from 1 species
GCCCCUGUAGUUCAAUGGAUAGAACAAGACACUCCUAACGUCUAGAUCUACGUUCGAUUCGUAGCGGGGGCA